GAAGGAAAAUGGAGUUUGAGGAAGACGAAGAGAAUGGAAAGUUUGGACAGAGAGAUGGAGAGGAACAAAAGAGAGAUGGAGGAAAGAAUAGGAAAGAGGGAUGGAGAGGGAAAAGAGAUAUGGAAGAAUGAACGGGAAGCAAAGAGGAAUGGAGGAGAAAAACAGAGAUAUGGAGGAAAUAAAUAAAAGAAGAAAAAGGAAAUGGAUCGAAAAAGAAAAAGAAUUAAAAAGACGUUAAAAUGGAAGGAUAAAGAAAGGAAAAAGAAUUAUAAUAAGAAUGAAAAGAAUAAAGAUAAGAUAAAAGAAGAUAAAGGAUUAGAAAAUGGAAAAAAAGGGGAUUACCAAGAGAGAGAGAGAGAGAGAGAGAGAGAGAGAGAGAGAGAGAGGAAGAAAAAAAGAGAAAGAAGUAUCAGGAAAAGUAUAGGAACUGUCAAACGGCGAUGGAUGAGUGGAACAAACUUAGAGGCGUGGAAGCCAUGUGGUGGUUCCCGAGAAUAGGAUUAAAACUUUCAGAGGGAGUUGGAACCGAUUUAUGGGCGAGAAGGAUUAAUGGGGAUAGGUUUACAGGGGCUACCUUGUUAACUAGCUAGCCUCUUACAGACUCAAUACUUCCUUUCCUUCCUUCCUUCCUUACAUGAUAUAAUAAGUAAACAAAAUCAACAUAGUAGGCUAAAUGCCCAAGUGACCCAUUCCUCCGUCUAUGAUUUAUCCACUCGCCUCUCGUGCUUAGGUCAAAGGUAACCCGCAAGAAUAAACUAUAGAUGACAUAAUCAACACCUGUCUUAGUAGUUUUAAAGGAGUAGGAAGGAGAGAAGAUUGGAAGAAAGGGAGAGAGAAAGGAAAGGAGAAGAAGGAGGAGGAAAAGAAGAGAGAAAAUUAAAAACUGGGAGAGAGUUAAAAGUGAAGAUUUGAAGAUAUGCAUAAAGAAAGGAAAGGAGGAGGAGGAGAAUAAAGAGAGAAAAUGGAAAACAGGGAGAGAGUGAAAAGAAAAACAAAGAAGAUAUGAAUUUAACUUAGGAUAACCCAGAGAGAUGAUUUUAUCGUUCAUAAAUUUCACGUUCUGACAUUGGGAUCUGCGCAAAGCCAAUAGCCUAGUCUUAACCACCUUAUAAUUUCCUCCUUACCCUUCUAUUCGUUCUCUAAAGCACUUCUACUAUCAGUUUAUACGUUACCUGCGAAGAAAAUACGAAAUGGACGAUGUAUGAGUCACGUGGUUUACUAUAAAGAAUGAUUUGUCCCGGGGUUGAGAUGGUCCAUUCCGUUCUCCCUGACAUCCAUCUCUCGUCUCAUGUCGGAAGGUCACGUUACGUUGUGCGGGAAAUAUCGCCUUUUGUAACGUUAUAGCGAGUGGCAGCGGGGAAUCCUACUACGAAGGUGUGGACCGAAGACUGCUGGUUAACGCACGGAUGUCGCUGUGUCUGUCUCUGUGUCUGGCUGUGUGAAGGUAAGUGCCUUGUACCCGUUCACCUGCACUCGCCCGGGAAAGGUAGAGUGAAUAAUAAAGACUGUUUUUGGAGUUAACUAAUGUACGAAGUGAGCAGGUCUUCCCUGUGGCCUUCGGAAAGAGUCGUGAAGGGAGUCUGCCACGUUUAGGAAUAUGGACUUGUCUCUCGCUGGCUCGUGUGGGGUGUAAGGUGGUGUUGGGUGGAUUUUACCCGACGCAAAUGUUUGCUGUUCGGCGGGCAUAGCGUCAACAUGUCCUAGGGAUGAUAUUAACCGUUGAUCACAUCCCCUCGUAAUUAUCGUCGCAAGCGGAAUUCCUAUCGCGCGUGCACGUGAAUCCGGGCAGCACCAACCUUCACCUGCCGCAAGUCCUACGUCCGCAGUGUGAUCUACAGGUGAGAGGUAAGUUUGUUUUGCUCCAGUGUAUACAUUUUAUAUUCUGAAGCAAAAAUGAUUAUCGUAUAGAAGAACAGUGAAAUUGGCGUACAUAAGGACACAUUCGAUUGGUGUGUAUAAUUUCUUUUAUUGUAUUUCAGGCAUUGUGCAGUGUUUUAAAACUGUUUUCUCACUGCC